rnacentral:tRNA from 1 species
GCUUGAGUAGCUCAGUUGGUUAGAGCGCACGACUGUUAAUCGUGAGGCCCUGAGUUCAAUUCUCAGCUCGAGCG